AGCUCCAAGAGUGUAUAUUAAAGUUGUUGCGGUUAAAAAGCUCGUAGUUGGACUUUGGACGGCGGCGCGAGGUCCCCGACGGCUCCGUUCGUCGGGAAUCGGGCCCGGCGUUCGCCGUUCCGUUCCCGAAACGUCGGCGACGCGUUCGCGAAAGCGGGCGCGUCCGUUUCGGGGGUUCACCUUGAACAAAUUAGGGUGCUCCAAGCAGACGAAAUCGUCGUGAACAGGUUAGCAUGGGAUGAUGGAAGACGACGCCGAUCCGUCUUUCCGUCGGUUUCUAGGGUCGCGUAAUGAUUGAUAGGGGCGGUCGGGGUUGUCCGUAUUCGACGGUCAGAGGUGAAAUUCUAGGACCCGUCGAGGACGAACGAGUGCGAAGGCAUUCAACAAGGACGCUUUCC
rnacentral:rRNA from 1 species